CGGGUGAGUAACACGUGGAUAACCUACCUAUAAGACUGGGAUAACUUCGGGAAACCGGAGCUAAUACCGGAUAAUAUUUUGAACCGCAUGGUUCAAAAGUGGAAAGACGGUCUUGCUGUCACUUAUAGAUGGAUCCGCGCUGCAUUAGCUAGUUGGUAAGGUAACGGCUUACCAAGGCAACGAUGCAUAGCCGACCUGAGAGGGUGAUCGGCCACACUGGAACUGAGACACGGUCCAG
rnacentral:rRNA from 1 species